AAGAUCCUUCUUUGAAGCCUUCCACACAGCGACUCUAACCGUGUGUGCAGUCUAGAAAUAGGCGACGUUACCCCUGUGCUGGAACACUACUUAACGGUGGUGGAUCAGCAGCCAGUUUGUCCUGGUCCACAGAUUAGGUGGUGGCGGUCCCCGGGGAUGCCCGUGGGAUGAAGAUAUAAUCGGUCCCCAUCGCUGUCGAUGGUGGAGCCACGUUCCGUAGGUGAACCUGCGGAAGGAUCAUUA
rnacentral:rRNA from 1 species